rnacentral:tRNA from 1 species
UGGGUGGGUUUUUGAGGAAAAGCCGCGCAAUGGCAAUGCGCUGCUGCUGGCCGCCGGAAAGCAGUUGUGCGUCCGUCUCGUACCCACCCGG